CCACAACAGGCGUGGUUAAUCCUUUCUCCAAUCGUUGGGAUAAAAAAUUGGGUGGUUAAUCUUUCCCCUAAAUCAUAUAAAUUUUCAUUAAUUACGCUAUUACUUUCUCCUUAUUUAUCUCCUUUCAAUUACCAAACGCCUCUCUUUCAACAGAGAAAAAAAAAAAAAAAAGAGUACAGAAGCUGAGAGGCUCUCUUGUGCGCGGUGUUCCCAAUCGUCAUCUGCGACACAAAAGCGAUUUUAAUCCAAAUCACACCUCUUCUCUUCGUAAAUCUGAAAAUAUGUUCAAGAGGGUGGAGGAGAAGAGCUCGAUUGUGGAGAGGCGGCAGAAAUUCAGUGAAUAGAAUCCAUAAGAAGCGGCCCUAAGUGAGGAGUAAUUGUAUAAGUGCUUCCCUACCAGGAGUUUGGGUCGAUUUGCAAAUAUGAUAUCAUUCUUGGUGAAGCAUUCCUAGACGGUGGAGAUGUGAGUGGAAGAAUGGGGCGGUAUCCAAAGUGAAGAUAGAGGAUUGGACCAUAUUGAUCGGAAAGACGGUGAAGGGAUUGGUGGAGAGGUUCUGUUGAGGAGAUGGAGAUGGUUGAUGAUCGCAAAGGCAAAUGGGCUUGGUGGCUUUCCAAACUCAAGAUGCGCCAAGGAGGUGGAAUCUAAUCUGUGACACUUGUUCUCGUGAUUUCUCAAGUAUUACAAAGAAUAUAGGUUAUGGUUUCAAUGUUCAAACGUAAAUUUUCAAUAAAUCAAAGUUUGGAAUCACUUAAUGAUGGUUGUGGAUGCUUGUUGUAUCUUUUUAUUGGGAAGGGUAGUAAAUUCAUGUACUUCCAUUUUUCCCUUAACAGAAGCAUCAUAGUGGAAAAAAAAAAAAACAUAGGCAUUAUUAACUAUGGAAUAUUAUAUUUCAAUUUGGUUU